CGUUCCCGGGCCUGUACACACCGCCCGUCACACCACGAAAGUCGGCAAUACCCGAAGCCGGUGGCCUAACCCGCAAGGGAGGGAGCCGUCGAAGGUAGGGUCGAUGAUUGGGGUG
rnacentral:rRNA from 1 species